rfam:Peregrinibacteria bacterium GW2011_GWF2_38_29 TS89_C0022, whole genome shotgun sequence.
UGAAAGGUGUCAGUAACGGUAAAGGUCUAUAAGCCGUGUAGUCUGGAGCGACCCUUGACAUCUACAAGGGUAAGCCGCUCGACAAAGCCGAUUAAGUCGGCAAGACGAACAAGCAGACCGUAAUGCGA